rnacentral:lncRNA from 1 species
AUCUACUUAACUCGAUUAUCCUAUAUCUUUAGACUUCACAGGUAAUCAUAUAUAAAAUAUCAAAUCAUCAUCAAUUUCUAUUCGAUGAAUAUGAUAAGAUUAAAUCAUAAGGAAAGAAGACUAUUGACUGGAUGUGAUAGACCAUCCAGACACCAAGGUAAUUCAGGAUCUCCAAGCUGAUGGUCAAAUUUAAGCAACUUGAUCAAGAAAUCAUGAAGCAC